rnacentral:miRNA from 3 species
AGUCCAGGGCUGAGUCAGCGGA